AAUAUCCUACGGGGCGCAGCAGUGGGGAAUUUUGGACAAUGGGCGCAAGCCUGAUCCAGCUAUUCCGCGUGUGGGAUGAAGGCCCUCGGGUUGUAAACCACUUUUGUAGAGAACGAAAAGACACCUUCGAAUAAAGGGUGUUGCUGACGGUACUCUAAGAAUAAGCACCGGCUAACUACGUGCCAGCAGCCGCGGUAAUACGUAGGGUGCGAGCGUUAAUCGGAAUUACUGGGCGUAAAGGGUGCGCAGGCGGUUGAGGUAGGCAGAUGUGAAAUCCACGAGCUUAACUCG
rnacentral:rRNA from 1 species